rnacentral:tRNA from 2 species
GGGCCCGUAGCUCAGCCUGGAUAGAGUACCGGCCUUCUAAGCCGGGGGUCCGGGGUUCGAAUCCCCGCGGGCCCG